rnacentral:rRNA from 1 species
AGACCCGAAACCCGGUGAUCUAGCCAUGGGCAGGUUGAAGGUUGGGUAACACUAACUGGAGGACCGAACCGACUAAUGUUGAAAAAUUAGCGGAUGACCUGUGGCUGGGGGUGAAAGGCCAAUCAAACCGGGAGAUAGCUGGUUCUCCCCGAAAGCUAUUUAGGUAGCGCCUCGUGAAUUCAUCUCCGGGGGUAGAGCACUGUUUCGGCUAGGGGGCCAUCCCGGCUUACCAACCCGAUGCAAACUGCGAAUACCGGAGAAUGUUAUCACGGGAGACACACGGCGGGUGCUAACGUCCGUCGUGAAGAGGGAAACAACCCAGACCGCCAGCUAAGGUCCCAAAGUCAUGGUUAAGUGGGAAACGAUGUGGGAAGGCCCAGACAGCCAGGAUGUUGGCUUAGAAGCAGCCAUCAUUUAAAGAAAGCGUAAUAGCUCACUGGUCGAGUCGGCCUGCGCGGAAGAUGUAACGGGGCUAAACCAUGCACCGAAGCUGCGGCAGCGAACGUAUCACCCAAGACAACUUUACGGAGUUGACGAUUGACGGAGCGAAGCGACGUCAAAGCGUUCAUUAAAGUCGAGUUGGCUUAGGGAUACGUUCGUUGGGUAGGGGAGCGUUCUGUAAGCCUGUGAAGGUGUGUCGUGAGGCAUGCUGGAGGUAUCAGAAGUGCGAAUGCUGACAUAAGUAACGAUAAAGCGGGUGAAAAGCCCGCUCGCCGGAAGACCAAGGGUUCCUGUCCAACGUUAAUCGGGGCAGGGUGAGUCGACCCCUAAGGCGAGGCCGAAAGGCGUAGUCGAUGGGAAACGGGUUAAUAUUCCCGUACUUGGUGUUACUGCGAAGGGGGGACGGAGAAGGCUAUGUUGGCCGGGCGACGGUUGUCCCGGUUUAAGCGUGUAGGUGUGUGUUCCAGGUAAAUCCGGUUCACUUUAACACUGAGGCGUGACGACGAGGCACUACGGUGCUGAAGCAACAAAUGCCCUGCUUCCAGGAAAAGCCUCUAAGCAUCAGGUAACAUCAAAUCGUACCCCAAACCGACACAGGUGGUCAGGUAGAGAAUACCAAGGCGCUUGAGAGAACUCGGGUGAAGGAACUAGGCAAAAUGGUGCCGUAACUUCGGGAGAAGGCACGCUGACACGUAGGUGAAGUGAUUUACUCAUGGAGCUGAAGUCAGUCGAAGAUACCAGCUGGCUGCAACUGUUUAUUAAAAACACAGCACUGUGCAAACACGAAAGUGGACGUAUACGGUGUGACGCCUGCCCGGUGCCGGAAGGUUAAUUGAUGGGGUCAGCGCAAGCGAAGCUCCUGAUCGAAGCCCCGGUAAACGGCGGCCGUAACUAUAACGGUCCUAAGGUAGCGAAAUUCCUUGUCGGGUAAGUUCCGACCUGCACGAAUGGCGUAAUGAUGGCCAGGCUGUCUCCACCCGAGACUCAGUGAAAUUGAACUCGCUGUGAAGAUGCAGUGUACCCGCGGCAAGACGGAAAGACCCCGUGAACCUUUACUAUAGCUUGACACUGAACAUUGAGCCUUGAUGUGUAGGAUAGGUGGGAGGCUUUGAAGUGUGGACGCCAGUCUGCAUGGAGCCGACCUUGAAAUACCACCCUUUAAUGUUUGAUGUUCUAACGUGGACCCGUAAUCCGGGUUGCGGACAGUGUCUGGUGGGUAGUUUGACUGGGGCGGUCUCCUCCUAAAGAGUAACGGAGGAGCACGAAGGUUGGCUAAUCCUGGUCGGACAUCAGGAGGUUAGUGCAAUGGCAUAAGCCAGCUUGACUGCGAGCGUGACGGCGCGAGCAGGUGCGAAAGCAGGUCAUAGUGAUCCGGUGGUUCUGAAUGGAAGGGCCAUCGCUCAACGGAUAAAAGGUACUCCGGGGAUAACAGGCUGAUACCGCCCAAGAGUUCAUAUCGACGGCGGUGUUUGGCACCUCGAUGUCGGCUCAUCACAUCCUGGGGCUGAAGUAGGUCCCAAGGGUAUGGCUGUUCGCCAUUUAAAGUGGUACGCGAGCUGGGUUUAGAACGUCGUGAGACAGUUCGGUCCCUAUCUGCCGUGGGCGCUGGAGAACUGAGGGGGGCUGCUCCUAGUACGAGAGGACCGGAGUGGACGCAUCACUGGUGUUCGGGUUGUCAUGCCAAUGGCACUGCCCGGUAGCUAAAUGCGGAAGAGAUAAGUGCUGAAAGCAUCUAAGCACGAAACUUGCCCCGAGAU